GCCGCGGUAAUACGGAGGGUGCAAGCGUUAAUCGGAAUUACUGGGCGUAAAGCGCACGCAGGCGGUCUGUUAAGUCAGAUGUGAAAUCCCCGGGCUUAACCUGGGAACUGCAUUUGAAACUGGCAGGCUUGAGUCUCGUAGAGGGGGGUAGAAUUCCAGGUGUAGCGGUGAAAUGCGUAGAGAUCUGGAGGAAUACCGGUGGCGAAGGCGGCCCCCUGGACGAAGACUGACGCUCAGGUGCGAAAGCGUGGGGAGCGAACAGGAUUAGAUACCCUGGUAGUCCACGCCGUAAACGAUGUCGACUUGGAGGUUGUUCCCUUGAGGAGUGGCUUCCGGAGCUAACGCGUUAAGUCGACCGCCUGGGGAGUACGGCCGCAAGGUUAAAACUCAAAUGAAUUGACGGGGGCCCGCACAAGCGGUGGAGCAUGUGGUUUAAUUCGAUGCAACGCGAAGAACCUUACCUACUCUUGACAUCCAGCGAACUUGGCAGAGAUGCCCUGGUGCCUUCGGGAACGCUGAGACAGGUGCUGCAUGGCUGUCGUCAGCUCGUGUUGUGAAAUGUUGGGUUAAGUCCCGCAACGAGCGCAACCCUUAUCCUUUGUUGCCAGCGAUU
rnacentral:rRNA from 1 species